AUUGAACGCUGGCGGCAGGCCUAACACAUGCAAGUCGAACGGUAGCACAGAGAGCUUGCUCUCGGGUGACGAGUGGCGGACGGGUGAGUAACGUCUGGGAAACUGCCCGAUGGAGGGGGAUAACUACUGGAAACGGUAGCUAAUACCGCAUAACGUCGCAAGACCAAAGUGGGGGACCUUCGGGCCUCACACCAUCGGAUGUGCCCAGAUGGGAUUAGCUAGUAGGUGGGGUAAUGGCUCACCUAGGCGACGGUCCCUAGCUGGUCUGAGAGGAUGACCAGCCACACUGGAACUGAGACACGGUCCAGACUCCUACGGGAGGCAGCAGUGGGGAAUAUUGCACAAUGGGCGCAAGCCUGAUGCAGCCAUGCCGCGUGUAUGAAGAAGGCCUUCGGGUUGUAAAGUACUUUCAGCGGGGAGGAAGGCGGUGAAGUUAAUAGCUUCACCGAUUGGCGUUACCCGCAGAAGAAGCACCGGCUAACUCCGUGCCAGCAGCCGCCGCUG
rnacentral:rRNA from 1 species